rnacentral:rRNA from 1 species
CCAAUAGCGUAUAUUAAAGUUGUUGCAGUUAAAAAGCUCGUAGUUGAAUUUCGGGAUCAAUUAAUUGGUCGUGCCUCUGGUACGUACUGAUUUUAUUGGUUUCUCCCUUCUGACGAACCAUGAUGUCAUUAAUUUGGUGUCGUGGAGAAUCAGGACUGUUACUUUGAAAAAAUUAGAGUGUUUAAAGCAAGCUAACGCUUGAAUACAUUAGCAUGGAAUA